GGUACUUAAAAGAAAGAGAAAAGGAGGUAACGGAAGAGAAUAUUAUCAUGUCAGGCCGAUCUAUUUCUGCGGGACCUAUAUUUGAAUGUUUGGGCCGACCCAGACCAUGUCUUUUCUGAGGAGAGGAAGGAGAAGGAAAAAAACCCCACAACGAAUAAAAUUCUUGUGAAGCAGAAAUCAGGUUUGCAUGAUCCUCUAUUCUCGAUGAUGCCAACUAGCUAGCUAGCUAGCCCAUGUACGCCGUACUUUUUUCUACUUUCUCCUUACCACCGCUUACCUUUCUGAGGAUCAAGCACACAUGCAUCUAGAACACAAAAACUUCAGAUCUUUU
rnacentral:lncRNA from 1 species